ACAGCUUUACAGUGCGCUCGGACGAAGAAGUCAAGCAGCCUUACAGCUUACAGUUGCCAUCUUACAAAGCUUUAUUAUUGACUCUAACGCCGUAUCUACACUGUAAAAGAGCGACGCGACGCUAUAAAACUAACGAAACCACUAUAAUAUUAAGUAGAUUAUAACGGUCAAUUUCUAUUUUUGUCGCGUCGCGUGCGGUAAUUAUACGCACUUGUGGUGGUUCCCACCAGUUUAUGCAAAUACAUUCUAACGUUAUAUCUGCUUUGACCAAAAACUUGAAAUGACGUGAGGACGGGUUUUGUUGUGAAGUUGAAGACAUGAUAAAGUCAUUAUGAAGACGACGAACGCGGCGAUUAUCAGUCGAAGUAGAGAGGACAUCCUUUCUGGACAUUUAUGCAUUUUCUCACGAGGCAUUUUUGCUGUCACCGCUGGAGGAAAAGUCACGGACAUCUUCGAAGAAGUUUGUGUAAAAAAGUUCCUCGGACGGAUAUCUUUCUUAAAAAUACAUACAUUCUGACUUUAACUUCGGCUGGCACCGAGUCUGAUGACUUUUCCCAGAAGAUUCAGUGAAGACAUAGAGAGAGGGGGCAGAAAGAGAGCCUUCUUGUCCAAUAAGAGAAAAGGGGACUUGAAGAAUGUGAAAAGCUCCCAUUCAGGCCAGUUCAGAGGGGCUGGGAGCGGCCACAUCCUCAGGAGGGAGGAGGGGUUGCUGCUUUCGGGAGGGUGGGCUAGGGAUCCUGGACAGGGGCCAGGAGCGAUGCAAAGGCUCCUCAGAUGACGCUGGUCCGUGGGAGCGUCCAGUGUCUCCGCCUCUCCCCUGUCCCUUAGGAUAUUGACUCCGGACCCUCACGUUCUAUUUACUCGCACAAACAAACCCUCCCCGAAGAGAACCAGUAGGCUGCAGCGUGAGGAAUGUGUCUCUAUUAAUAGAGCGGUUAGAUUAUCUCAAAGACUAAUGACUGGCAUGUCCAGAUUCCUGAAAGGCACAGCAGUGACAUACUCUCAUCCACCACUCCUCAUUCAUUGGCAAUGAUCUCAUUUCCUCUGAUAUUUUAUGAAUUUAACUUGUGGACCGUUCACUUUUAAAAAAAAUGUUGUACUUACAUAGCUUUAUCAUUAAUGAGAAUCAGUGGGAAAAAGGGAAGUAAAGCAAAAUAACUGAAAUAAAAAAAAAACUCAAAUGCAAAAUAAAAAUAUAGAUGCACAUAAUGAGAAAUAUCCAGGCUGAGCUGAGAUAUUUAAUACAUUAACUUUGGCAGCCCUAAAAGCUCAACUAAAAUAAAUAAUGAGUUUGCAAGUAAAUAACGCAAAGAUCGAAACGUGAUAUUCAGGUAUGCUUGGGUCAAGAAUUCUUUGCUAUGAAGUCAUGACCAGAUCUCUCCACCACAGCCUGAGCUUCAGGGAGUGUAAACAUCCUACACUCUCAGCUGGAGCCCAGCCCGUGGCCGGGAGUGGGAUGUUUGCGCUCUCUGGCUCAGGAACGCCACUGCUCUCGACGGCUCCACUGUGGAGGGGAAAAGCUUGUUCAGAAAGUUCUUAAAAUGUUCUCUUUUUUUAAUGAGCAUCUAUCUUUCUAUCCUCUAUCUAUUAUGAAAGGUGCACGGCCCUGAUCAUUCGAAACGUAUUUACAUUGUGUGCAUACUUUAUGUAACGUAUGUGGAUAGAUGUUGAAGUAGAUAUGGGAGCUUUGUAACGCACACAGGAAGUGAACUCCAUUGUGAGCAUUGUAAGGGCUCUUGAGGGUGAGUAGCCUGUCAUUAAGACAUUGAAGCUGAACUUUAGGUCUCUUUGAAGCUUUCUGACCCCUCUGUCCGACUGCAAGUGCCUCCACCCAGACAGAGCUGCCGAUGGAAUUGCCUGAGAGGAAGUAACUAUUUAUACCCAUGAAGGAACAGAGAGAGGCACCCUUCCGAUGGGCGUCUCUUCUCUUACUUCCUUUGACAAAAAUGUUAGGACUGCUCUCAUGAAAGCUAAACCCAACUCCGAAGAUAUGCACAACAUCCAACUCCGAAGAUAUGCACAACAUCCAGUGCUGUCAGUGCUAACCAUGUUUUGGUUACCAUUCUCUUGUACUGCAAUGACCUUUGUCCACUUUUACUUGAUGUCAAAUUAAGCAUGUCCCAUUUAGGGCCACUAGGUGGCAGGCUAACUCCAUAAAAUCCCUAAUGCUAAUGUUGUGCUUGGAAAGAUAAAAAAAUAGAAAUAAUUUUGCUAACAUUUUUAGAAUUUUUAAAAUAUCUUUCCAAGUAUCUGUGGAAAUCACUUUUGAUGGUUAUGUUGGAAAUGAUGGCAAGUACAAAGUGAAAAGAGUUCAGUGACAUUUUUGAACUCAUUCACCCCACUGCGCAUUUUCCUGCUCUAGUCAAUCCGAGCGAGUAAAAACGGUAGGAAAUGUUAAAACCAACUGACACCCUCUGAUCAAGCUCUUCCUGUCAACUGGAGGAGUCAAAACAAGUGAAGUAUGACAACAAGGACAUCAUUCAUUUUUAGUUUUACUUGUUCCCUUCCUGUCAUGCUCUUUGAACUGAAUUCACUAAGAUCCUUAUGAUGCCAGAGCUUUUUUUCCAUCUAACUGCAAUAGAGCUAUUGAAUUUACAGCAAGUUCCUUUCAAAUGUUUCAAACAAUAAUCUCGCCCCAUGGUGGCACAGCAAUGGGAAGUUGAAGCAUGCUACAGUAUUUGGAAUAUGUUAUAGGCCUAAAGUAAAAACAACAUUGUCAGCAAUGAAUGCACUUCACUGUUGUUCCUUGUUUAAUAAAGAGCUGACUGUUUGACUCUGA